GGAUCAUCUGCUUCUGGACCUCGGUUGGCGUACUCUUUGAUGAAGCCAGAGUGUGUGUUGGAGAGGCCCUGAUGGCAAGGAACAGAGGGUGGCUUCCAGUCACCAGCAACUGAGGUCCUCAGGCCAACAGCCCUUAAAGAAUGGAAUCCUAUCAACAAAUGCGUGAAGGAGCUUGGGAGCAGAUUCUUGCAGAGCUGGAAUUACAGAUGAGGUCACAGUCCUGGAUGUGACUGGAAUCUUGUGAAAGACCCUGAGCCAAGAGACCCAGUGAUUCCUGACUCACAGAAACCAUAAGAUAAUAAAUUUUUGCAGUCUUAAGCUGCUAAUUUUGGGAAGAUAAUAGAUAACUACAGACUUUUAUCAAUAGACAACUGAUUACACUUAAGUUCCACAGGUAGAAAUGAGUCCCCAGUGAGAGAACAGAAGAAUGAGAGAAGCAAAAAUUGGAGUCUCCUGGAGAGUCAAGGUCUUAUAGAUUCUCCGAAGGAAAAGGAAUACUGUGUCAUUGAAACAGAUUCAAAAUAAGAUCAGUUUGUAAUCCGAAGCAAGAAGGUAAAACAGGACCUGUCUUCCAGCUCACCUCUGUCAACUUGCCUUUAGAGGCCACCUCGCCCCUCAAGGCUGCUCUUGACGCUAAAGGUUUAUCAGAACUUUAUCUCUGUCAGCUGGAAUAGGGAAUAAGCAUUUGUUAUUAGUGAUGAUCCUGGGUCUCCAGAGAACUUUCAGCUCUGUGCCCCAGAUGACUUAUUCCUUCCAGCCACAAGAAGUUCUGCUAAUGCCUCAGUUUAACCUACCCUGUCAAUCCGUGUUGUCCAAGAAGGUUUUUACUACAAUGAGAAGGAAUCUCUGGGUAUCACCUGCUGGGUACUAUGCCUCCUAAUUUUUACAUAGGUGGCACAUAAUCUGACCAGUUAAUGUA